rnacentral:rRNA from 1 species
CCUACGGGGGACAGCAGUGAGGAAUAUUGGUCAAUGGGCUUACGCCUGAACCAGCCAAGUAGCGUGCGGGAAGACUGCCCUACGGGUUGUAAACCUCUUUUGUACGGGGGCAACACCGGCUACGUGUAGCGGGCCUCAGAGUACGUGAGGAAAAAGCAUGGCCUAAUUCGGUGCCAGCAGCCGCGGUAAACCGGAGGCUGCGAGCGUAAUCCGGUUUUAUUGGGUUUAAAGGGGGCGUAGGCGGCAUGCAAAGUCAGCGGUAAAAUCGCGGGGCUCAACCUCGCCCCGCCGUUGAAACUGGCGUUCUUGAGUGGGCGAGAAGUAUGCGGAAUGCGUGGUGUAGCGGUGAAAUGCAUAGAUAUCACGCAGAACUCCGAUUGCGAAGGCAGCAUACCGGCGCCCAACUGACGCUGAAGCACGAAAGUGUGGGUAUCGAACAGGAUUAGAUACCCGAGUAGUC